GAUGAAGAACGUAGCGAAAUGCGAUAAGUAAUGUGAAUUGCAGAAUUCAGUGAAUCAUCGAAUCUUUGAACGCUCAUUGCGGCCCCUGGUAUUCCGGGGGGCAUGCCUGUUCGAGCGUCAUUUCACCACUCAAGCCUCGCUUGGUAUUGGGCAACGCGGUCCGCCGCGUGCCUCAAAUCGACCGGCUGGGUCUUCUGUCCCCUAAGCGUUGUGGAAACUAUUCGCUAAAGGGUGUUCGGGAGGCUACGCCGUAAAACAACCCCAUUUCUAAGGUUGACCUCGGAUCAGGUAGGGAUACCCGCUGAACUUAAGCAUAUCAAUAAGCGGAGGA
rnacentral:misc_RNA from 1 species